GCAUUUUUCAUUUUCCAUCAUCCUUGUAUUUAUAUAAAAAUAUCCCCUUUUCAUAAAAGCUGCAUUUUCGAUAGCUCUUAUGACUGCAGUGUUAAAUCAUCAUGGCAGUUGUUGGCUUUGGGUGUAAAAAGAUGUUGUAUGUAUGCAGUCACUCAAGCACUAACACCCAUGUACCGUUCACCAAUUUGGGCAAGAAGGUAAAUAAGAAUAUCUUUUUCCCCCCUUCACAUAGUCAAAUUAAAAAAUCUGGUGCCUGUUAGAAAGUGAGAUCUAAACUGGAUUUUAUGGAAGGGUUAUCUCUAUCUCUGAUUUUUUGAUAUUCAAAAAAUGUUUUGUGCAUUCAAAGAAAGAAAGGAAAGAAGGAAGGAAGGAAGGAAGGAAGGAAGGAAGGAAGGAGAAGGAAGGAAGACAGUUAAACAAACAAUUCCAAUGUUGCUUAGAAGCAAGCAGCAAUACCUGACCAAUCUGCUAGUGUUCUCAAUUCUUUCCCAUUGCCCACCUCUUCUCAGGAGUGUUGAAGGCAAGUAGCUAGUGGGAGAGAACAGGAAAAUGAGAUUUUCACCCACCACAAACUGGGUCUGUCCUGAGAUGUCAUUGUCCGGGCUUGGGAAGUACAGUCUCUGUCUGCCACACCAGGAAUGCCGUCAGCUUGAGAGGCAUGAGCCAGGAUCCAGCCUUAGAGAGCACUGCCAUCUCCUGGAAAACCCUCUAUACAUGAGGCCUGCUGUCUUCGCUCCUCCAACGCCACAAAUCAGAAAACAAGGCCUUGGUCACGGCCCUCUAUCUUUAGCACCAAAGGUCUGGGUACACAGAACCUUCAUCUUCUGCCCCUUCAAAUUGGAACACGCCAAUUCCUGAAGGAAAUGAAAAGGUGUUGUAUUGUCAUCUUAAUUAAAAACAAAUAACUAGGUUGGGGAGGCCACUGGUGCUGAGACUGUGAUUACUACUCCUGCCUUCUGCUCCCGAGGCUGGUAACAGACGCUGCUUCCUAUAAAUGAGUGCCUGGCACCAGUACAAUCCUGCCCUCGGGAUCUUGAGAAAAAGCAGGAGCCUUAUUUACACCAUUAAGGACAGUACUGAGGACUCCAGGAGUAAGUCACCUUCUCAGGCAGAGCAUCAGAGACCAGAAAGCCCUGCGUCCUUCAGCCUUUGCUCUGUGGCAAUUACUUAUUGAAAUUCCACCUUACAGACAUAUUGGAAUAACUAAUGAGAUAUUUUCAGAAAUCACUGAAGACCCAGAAAAGCACCUAUGAGUGUCCGUUUACACUCCCAACAUAUGAAGGCUGGCACACCCAACAGUGUCUGUGAGGCAACAGUGGAUUUUCAAAGACACGGCUUUAGUGAUUAGAGCCGGGUAGUUGUCAGAUUUUGGCUAGAACGAAAUGCAUUUGGGAAGAUAUCAGGCUCUUCAUCAUGAACAAGAAUAGGCUUUCUGUACUAACAGCUUUCUUUUGAAAUAAAUGAUUAUCUGUGUAAAGACA
rnacentral:lncRNA from 1 species